rnacentral:tmRNA from 1 species
UUAAUUGUCAUUUCCGUCUUCAGAUUAUAUACAGUAAGUGUCUUUUCGGAGAAUAUGGCGAUAAACGCGCUCGUAAUACACGGAUCGGACCCGGGGGCGGUACCCGGCGACUCCACCAAACAAACCUUCAUUUGAGGACUUUGGGGUCGAAAUAGGAUCGACGGACGUUUAAAGGGGUUAGCUUUUGCUCGGUGAGAUACCACCGUUAUCGGUUCAAAAAGUACAAUUGCAAAUGACAAUAGUGCUCCGAGAGCUUUGGCUGCUUAAGCAGCUCAAGUAAUCGAAAUUUAAGUCCAGCCGCCUUGCAGCGCCUGGCGGGGUUUGCAGGCACCUGGCAACAGAAGCCUGCGCU